rnacentral:lncRNA from 1 species
CCCCAGGAACUGUAAACUUUAUAUUACAGUAGUCCCCCCUUAUCCAAGGUUUUAGCUUUCCAAGGUUUCAUUUACCUGUGGUCAACCAUGGUCCAGAAACAUUAUAUGGAAAAUUCCAGAAAUAAACAAUGUAUAAGUUUUAAAUUGUGAGUCAUUCUGAGUAGUGUGAGGAGAUCUUGUGCUGUCCUGCUCCAUCCUGCCUGGGUCAUAAACCCUCUCUCUCGGGGUCCAGCAUCUCCACGCUGUAGACACCCCCACCACCAACCAGUCACUUAGUGGCCAUCUCAGUUACCAGAUCUACUGUCAGGGGGUCUCAGUGCUUAGGUUCCUUUUUUAUUUUUGAGACAGAGGCUGGCUCUGUCGCCCAGGCUGGAGUGCAGUGGCAUGAUCUUGGCUCGCUGUAACCUCCACCUCCUGGGCUUAAGCCAUGCUCCCACCUCAGCCUGCCGAGUAGCUGGGACUACAGGUAUGUGCCACCGUGACCGGUGAAUUUUUGUGUUUUUUGUAGAGGCAGAGUUUUGCCAUGUUGCCCAGGCUAGUCUCAAACUCCCGAGCUCAAGUGAUCCACCUGCCUUGGACUCCCAAAAUGCUGGGAUUACAGGUGUGAGCCACUGUGCCUGGCAGGAACUAUUAUUUGACUUCACAAUGGCCUCAAAGUUCCAAGAGUAUGAUGCUGGCAAUCUGGAUAUGCCAAAAACCAGCCAUGAAGUCCUUCCUUUAGUUAAAAGGUGAAAGUUCUCAAGAAAAAAAAAAGUAUGCUGAGAUUGCUAAGAUCUACAGUAAGAAUCAAUCUUCUAUCCAUGAAAUUGUGAAAAAGGACAAAGAAAUUUGUGCUAGUUUUGCUGCUGUACCUAAAACUACAAAAGUUACAGCCACAGUGUGGGCUAAGUGCCGAGCUGAAAUGGAAAAGGCAUUAAAGGCAAGCGUAUACAGGGUUCGGUCCCAUCCGCAGUCUUAGGCAUCCCCUGGGGAUUUUGACAUGGAUCCCCCGUGGAGAAGGGGGGCUACUGUACAGUACACUUCCCUUCAGCAAGCCGCAUAUUCAAGUUCUCUAUUUCAGAUUCCCCUUCGUGACUGUCAUGCAGGAAGCAAAGAAAACCCAUUGUGUCCAAGGAAAUUUUUACUUUCUCUAGGGAUUCAGAAACCUGACUUUCUGAUACUCAGAAACUCAGUGCGCAUGGGUGAGAAGGCUCGGUAGGGAAGAGGUGCUUUGUAGCUCAGGAUCUGCUGGAGCUGAGGGCGUUUUUUGGUUUAAUCUAGUUUCACUGUGUGUUUCAUGGAGAGGUUCCUCUAGGAACAAAAGGUUCUAUGGAAGUCACGUCCUUUAUCCCUCUUAGCCAUCCCUGUGUCUGCCUUAGCCAACCUCCCAUUUGUAAAAAGAAAGCAGAGACCAGGCUAUGGCUGAAUAGUUUCAGACAGCCCCUAUACCACUGUCAGCCUUUGCAAAGUGUAAUGCUUUAAUUACAAGGGUCACACAAGGUCUUAAGACACAGGAGUCCCUGUGUCUGAACGUAAUCACUGUGUAUGCGUCUCAGCCUAAUGAGGAGGUGACUAUCAUGAAGGUCUGGUGGUGAAGAUCUUGCAAGAAGGUGCCUUGUUUGAGAUCUUUCAAGGAAACACAGUACUCAAUAAAUGUGGUUCGGUGUACAGUUGAGCCUUGAGCAACAUGGAUUUGAACUGCAUGGGGCCACUUAAAUGUGCAUUUUCUUAUGACUCCGCUGCUCUUGAGACAGCAAGAUCAAGCCCCCUCCUCCUCAGCCAACUCAACGUGAAGACAAUGAAGAUCAAGAUCUUUAAGAUGAUCCACUUCCACUUAAUGAAUAAUAAAUAUAUUUUGUCGUUAUGAUUUUCCUAACACUUUCUCUAGCUUACUUUAUUGCAGGAAUACAGUAUAUAAUCAUGUAACAUACCAAAUACGUGCUAAAUGACUGUAUGUUAUUGGUAGGACUUCUGGUCAGCAGUAGGCUACUAGCAGUUACAUUCUGGGAGAGUCAGAAGGUAUCCGUAGAUUUCUGACUGCACAGGGUUGAUAUCCCUAGCCCCCAUAUUGUUCAAG